GGCGAACGGGUGAGUAAUAUAUCGGAACGUACCCAAGAGUGGGGGAUAACGUAGCGAAAGUUACGCUAAUACCGCAUACGAUCUAUGGAUGAAAGUGGGGGAUUCGCAAGAACCUCAUGCUCCUGGAGCGGCCGAUAUCUGAUUAGCUAGUUGGUGAGGUAAAGGCUCACCAAGGCGACGAUCAGUAGCUGGUCUGAGAGGACGACCAGCCACACUGGAACUGAGACACGGUCCAGACUCCUACGGGAGGCAGCAGUGGGGAAUUUUGGACAAUGGGCGCAAGCCUGAUCCAGCAAUGCCGCGUGAGUGAAGAAGGCCUUCGGGUUGUAAAGCUCUAUUGUCAGGGAAGAAACGGUUGAGGCUAAUAUCCUCGGCUAAUGACGGUACCUGAAGAAUAAGCACCGGCUAACUACGUGCCAGCAGCCGCGGUAAUACGUAGGGUGCAAGCGUUAAUCGGAAUUACUGGGCGUAAAGCGUGCGCAGGCGGUUUUGUAAGUCUGUCGUGAAAGCCCCGGGCUCAACCUGGGAAUUGCGAUGGAGACUGCAAGGCUUGAAUCUGGCAGAGGGGGGUAGAAUUCCACGUGUAGCAGUGAAAUGCGUAGAGAUGUGGAGGAACACCGAUGGCGAAGG
rnacentral:rRNA from 1 species